rnacentral:rRNA from 1 species
AUUGAACGCUGGCGGCAUGCCUUACACAUGCAAGUCGAACGGUAACAGGUCUUCGGAUGCUGACGAGUGGCGAACGGGUGAGUAAUACAUCGGAACGUGCCUAGUAGUGGGGGAUAACUACUCGAAAGAGUGGCUAAUACCGCAUGAGAUCUACGGAUGAAAGCAGGGGAUCGCAAGACCUUGUGCUACUAGAGCGGCCGAUGGCAGAUUAGGUAGUUGAUGGGAUAAAAGCUUACCAAGCCGACGAUCUGUAGCUGGUCUGAGAGGACGAUCAGCCACACUGGGACUGAGACACGGCCCAGACUGCUACGGGAGGCAGCAGUGGGGAAUUUUGGACAAUGGGCGAAAGCCUGAUCCAGCAAUGCCGCGUGCAGGAUGAAGGCCUUCGGGUUGUAAACUGCUUUUGUACGGAACGAAAAGCCCCGGGUUAAUACCCUGGGGUCAUGACGGUACCGUAAGAAUAAGCACCGGCUAACUACGUGCCAGCCGCCGCAGUAA